rnacentral:miRNA from 1 species
UCCAAUGGUUGUUCACGGCAUC